GGAAGGAUCAUUAACACGUAUCCUACGUUAAACAACCCGGUCACCUUCAUUGAGGCUGGUCGUAGAACCGAACUUCGUUUGAUAUCUCGAAGAGUCAGGUAGAGCAUCCCCCCGCCGGGGACUCGUUUGGACCGGUCUGCAAGUCAGAAUCCUUUUGUUAUGUCUGGAACUGCAGACGAAAGGCAGGACAUGAACGUAAGGGAGAGAGACCCUCGUCUUGAGGCCAGCACAAGUUUCGGCGAUCGUUCGCACCCUUGAGCAUCCCCUCGUCGGGGACCAGUGGGGAGAUCGGGCUUGGGGACUGACCUUUUGAGGCUGAGGAGCGAGAAACAUUGCGAGUCCGUGGCCCCGGGCCUGAGUUUGAAAGAACGGCGUUCGUGAGGGUUUCCCUUAACACGAUCUCCGCAUCUCAGUUCCCUCCGUAGCGGCGUAAUGCGUUCUGCUGUGGUUCUCUUCCCGAAAAGGGACGCGCCUGACAACUUUUCGUCUGUGGCUGGUCAUCUCAACUGAAUUGCGGUUUUGGCACCCUUAGCUCUCACGAGCUGCUAUGUUUAAAGACUGUCAUUAGGGUAGAGUUUUUAAGUCGGAAGCGAGGCCGCGAAAGAAAGGAAGGACCUCGCCCCGGCUUCUUUACCUUGCGGCGCAUAGCUCGGCCGGGGGUCCGAUGAAAAAAAAAAAAGUCGCCAGGUGCGAACAGGGGAAGUAGGAUGUGCACUAUGUAAGCCGGCUUUGGUGCAGGUUGGGGUCCCCCAUCCCCCCCUUGCCUUCUCCUCCCGGUGUGUAGUGUUCUGUUCGAAACUCUCUAGUACCACUUGUCGCCAACCCCGGAAAACUAUCCCCGUUUUCUGGAUUCAGGUCUGGUCCUAGACCGGCCUUUCUCCAACCCCGAACAACUGUUAACAAUGGAUAUCUUGGCUCUCGCAACGAUGAAGAACGCAGCGAAAUGCGAUACGUAAUGCGAAUUGCAGAAUUCAGUGAAUCAUCGAAUCUUUGAACGCAAAUUGCGCUCUCGGGAUACCCCUGAGAGCACACCUCGCUGACUAUCGGUUUCAAACAAUUAACCUCACCUUCUGGUGUUGGUAACUCAGUUGAGCGUUAUGCCUGCAUCCGCCGACACGGGCGGGCAUAUCGCUUUAAAACCGUUCGUUCUGAUCAUUGAAUGAUCGCCUUGCAAGUUGGGUUCACUUCGGUGAAGCAGAUUUACAAGGUAAUCAUCCAAACUUGAGCACACAGAAGAAACCAAAUUGCCCCUAACCAGGGUGAAUUGGCGACUUUGGUGCGUGUUUCAAUCGGAGAGUGGGAAAGGAUUAACGCGUGGAAGCGCGGACAAGGGGUUCUCCCCUUAUCUUUGCGGUUCUGCACGGGUCCCGACAAACGCCGCUUUGGAACCUGCUUGGGGUUGGCCUUGAGCUGGAAUGCUGGAGAAAAACUCGUUUCUUUGGUGUAAAAGCCAGGGAAACAUUCCUCUGAAUCAGAUGUCAGCUGAAGUGAGAAUACCCCCUGAAUUUAAGCAUAUUACUAAGGGGAGGAAAAGAAACUAACAAGGAUUCCCCUAGUAACGGCGAGUGAAGCGGGAAGAGCUCAAACUUGAAAUCCGCGGGUGUAACAACUCGUGGAGAUGUAGUCUGGAGACGCUCUCUCAGUGCGAGACCGGUUAUAAGUCCCUUGGAAUGGGGCAUCAUAGAGGGUGAGAAUCCCGUUUAUGAGCUGGAUCUCUGUGCGUACGAGGAGCGUUCCAAGAGUCGUGUUGCUUGGGAGUGCAGCACAAAUUGGGUGGUAAAGUUCAUCUAAAGCUAAAUACCGGCGAGAGACCGAUAGCGAACAAGUACCGUGAGGGAAAGAUGAAAAGAACUUUGAAAAGAGAGUUAAAUAGUACUUGAAAUUGUUAACAGGUAAGGGCAGGAAACCAGUAAUUCCUGGGCUCACUUGCGGUCGCUUCACGGCGGCUGUUACUUGAGUUUGGGAGAGUCAUCAUCAUUUAGAAUCGUUGGAGAAAGCGCGGAUGGUGCUUUGUCUGCUUGCAGGCAGAGACCGCUGCGUCCUACAUUGGUUCUGAAUGAGGAAACGAUAACCCGCACGCUUCGGCGUACGGCCCUCUGCGGUCUGUUUGCUCCAGCGCGUGAGAGAUCAAAGAUCUGUCUGUGCGAAAGGUGAAUACUCCGUGGAACGGUCAGUUGCUGGGUUCGCGAUGAUGACGAAAUGGUUUUCUUCCACCCGUCUUGAAACACGGACCAAGGAGUCUAACAUCUAUGCGAGUAUUUGGGUGGCAAACCCUGAUGCGCAAUGAAAGUAAAGCGGUCCUUGUGGCCGUGAGGUAGGAAUCUUACCUUCGGGUGGGAGGCACUAUCGACCGAUCGUUCGCUUGCGAAAGAUUUGAGUAAGAGCAUAGCUGUUGGGACCCGAAAGAUGGUGAUCUAUGCCUGAACAGGGUGAAGCCAGGGGAAACUCUGGUGGAAGCUCGUAGCGAUACUGACGUGCAAAUCGUUCGUCUGAUUUGGGUAUAGGGGCGAAAGACUAAUCGAACCAUCUAGUAGCUGGUUCCCUC
rnacentral:misc_RNA from 1 species